UACGAAGGGGGCUAGCGUUGUUCGGAAUUACUGGGCGUAAAGCGUAUGUAGGCGGAUCGUUAAGUCGGGGGUGAAAUCCCGAGGCUCAACCUCGGAACUGCCUUCGAUACUGGCGAUCUUCGAGUCCGGGAGAGGUGAGUGGAACUCCGAGUGUAGAGGUGAAAUUCGUAGAUAUUAGGAAGAACACCGGUGGCGAAGGCGGCUCUCUGGAACGGUACUGACGCUGAGACGCGAAAGCGUGGGUAGCAAACAGG
rnacentral:rRNA from 1 species